rnacentral:rRNA from 1 species
CGGACCUUAUAAGCGGCGGACUGGUGAGUAACGCGUGGGUGACCUACCUUAAGGAUGGGGAUAGUCGCUAGAAAUAGCGGGUAAUACCGAAUAAUGUUUGCCUGGUUUUGACUGGGUAAAGAAAGGAGCUCCGGCUCCGCUAAAGAUGGGCCCGCGUCCCAUUACGCUAGUUGGCGGUGUAAAUGACCACCAAGGCGAAGAUGGGUAGCCGGCCUGACGAGGGUGAACGGCACACUGGAGACUGAGAUACGGCCCAGACUCCUACGGGAGGCAGCAGCAUAAGAAUAUUCCGCAAUGGACGAAAGUCUGACGGAGCGACGCCGCGUGGAUGAGGAAGGCCGAAAGGUUGUACAAAUCCUUUUGCCGAUGAAGAAUAACGUGCGGGAGCGGAAUGCCCGCAUGAUGACGUUAGUCGGCAGAAUAAGCCCCGGCUAAUUACGUG